CUAGCUUCAGCGAUGGAUCGGUCGAUUCGCGUAUCGAUGAAAAACGCAGCUAGCUGCGUUAUUUACCACGAAUUGCAGACGCUUAGAGUGG
rnacentral:rRNA from 1 species